CCUAUGGAACUGUCACUAAAAUGUCAAAAUUUGUACAACUUAUUGCUUAAAUUUUAAACCUUUCUACUGAUUUAUUAUAUUAAUUGAUAAAACUAUAAUCUGAGAGUAAAUUUUCUGGCACAAAAAUCCAGUAAAAUGUAUGAUCUUGAUGUGGACAAAGUUUCUAAUGUAGUUAAUGUUUUUGGUGCAGUACUUUUGGCAACGUCAGCAAUUUUAAUAAUCGCUUCCUUUAUCCUUAAAGACGACUUAAUAGACAAGAGCAAAAAGAAAAAUUCGUAGUUGCCUGUAACCUUAAUUUGGAACUAUAAGAACCACAAUAGAUUAAGAUAAAUUCUAUAGAAACCGAUUGUGUGCAAUAAGACAAGGAAAAUGUAGCAAUAAAAAUUUUAGAUUAAAA